rnacentral:rRNA from 1 species
AUUGAACGCUGGCGGCAUGCUUUACACAUGCAAGUCGAACGGCAGCACGGGCUUCGGCCUGGUGGCGAGUGGCGAACGGGUGAGUAAUACAUCGGAACGUACCCAGAAGUGGGGGAUAACGUAGCGAAAGUUACGCUAAUACCGCAUACGUUCUACGGAAGAAAGUGGGGGAUCGCAAGACCUCAUGCUUUUGGAGCGGCCGAUGUCUGAUUAGCUAGUUGGUGAGGUAAAGGCUCACCAAGGCGACGAUCAGUAGCUGGUCUGAGAGGACGACCAGCGACACUGGAACUGAGACACGGUCCAGACUCCUACGGGGGGCAGCAGUGGGGAAUUUUGGACAAUGGGCGCAAGCCUGAUCCAGCAAUGCCGCGUGAGUGAAGAAGGCCUUCGGGUUGUAAAGCUCUUUUGUCAGGGAAGAAACGGUAGAGGCUAAUAUCCUUUGCUAAUGACGGUACCUGAAGAAUAAGCACCGGCUAACUACGUGCCAGCCGCCGCGGUAAUAC